rnacentral:rRNA from 1 species
UAACGGAAGGCAGCAGUGGGGAAUAUUGCACAAUGGGCGCAAGCCUGAUGCAGCCAUGCCGCGUGUAUGAAGAAGGCCUUCGGGUUGUAAAGUACUUUCAGUCGUGAGGAAGGUGUUAAGGUUAAUAACCUUAGCAAUUGACGUUAGCGACAGAAGAAGCACCGGCUAACUCCGUGCCAGCAGCCGCGGUAAUACGGAGGGUGCGAGCGUUAAUCGGAAUUACUGGGCGUAAAGGGCACGCAGGCGGUUAAUUAAGUUGGAUGUGAAUCCCCGGGCUUAACCUGGGAAUGGCAUUCAAGACUGGUUAGCUAGAGUCUUGUAGAGGGGGUAGAAUUCCAUGUGUAGCGGUGAAAUGCGUAGAGAUGUGGAGGAAUACCGGUGGCGAAGGCGGCCCCUGGGACAAAGACUGACGCUCAUGUGCGAAAGCGUGGGGAGCGAAACAGGGAUUAGAUACC